GCCUGGGAGAUGACUCAGUAAAACGCUCGCUGUGGAAGCAUAAGGACCUGCCUUUCGAUCACUGCCACCAGUGCUAACAAAGCCAAGUAUGCCAGAAUAGAAGCUGCAAAUGCAACAUGGAGGAGCUGCCAUUUUCUGUCAGUCAUACCGUUGUGCCACACACAGGCGAUAGAAACUAUACCUCUGCACCGUGGAUCAUCUAGUUCAUCUCUUUUUUCAUACAUGUAUCUGGGAACAAAUGAAAGCCACAGAAGUUAUUCUUUAAAUUUCCAAA